rnacentral:lncRNA from 1 species
GUCGUUGUCCCCUAAUUACAGAGCUGGAUUAUGUCCUCAUCAUCCCGCUCUGUCUAGUAGCUCUGGAUUUCCUUCCUUGGGGCAGACUUUUACUCUUUGGCUCCGCUCUUCUAAGUAGCUCCGCCUUCUGGCGAAUUGUCUCUAGCGUGUGGCUCCGCGCUCUGGCUCCAAUAGCUUAGCUCUGACUUUGGAUCUGGCGAUUUGGCUCUGGCUCUGACUCUAACGACUUAGCUCUGACUCUGGAUCUGGUGACUUAGCUCUGGC